rnacentral:lncRNA from 1 species
UUUUAUUUUGUCUGGAAAAUGACAUGCGUUAUGAUGAGAUGCAAAUGCAAUGAAAUGUGAAUGAAUGCAAUGCAAGCCAUGCAUAUUUGUGUUUUUUCUUCAAUACAUGGGUUCAAAAGUCCGAGGUACUGAUAAAUUUGAUUGCUUUUCCAAAACGGGGUUCUCACCGGGUAUGAUCUAGGGCUUUGUUGCAAAGGAUCCCCAGAGUCAUUGAUUCACAAGAAUGUUUGACGCUUACGGGAAAUACUUUCCGGUCGUCAACUCCAUCAAGGGAAUCUAUUCUGGGUGAGGUUCUCGUG